rnacentral:lncRNA from 1 species
UAUAUAUAUAGAUGUUUAUGAGUGAUUUUUAGUGUAUAUAUUGUUAACAAAUGAUAAUCAUUAUGAUUCAUCGUAUUUAUUUUGAAUAAAACAGUAAAUGACAAUUAAUACCUCCAACUUUUUAUGGAUAAGGCGAUUAGAUAAUUUUAGAUAAUUUUAUGAAUCAUCAAAGGAGCAGAGGACCAACGAAAUAAAGUUUUUGAGAACUAUUUCAAAUUAGCACAUGAUUAUUAGUAAUACACAAGUACAAGAAAUAUAAAUGAAUUGAAUUUAGGGAUUUUUUCUUUUGUCUGAGAAAAAUAUGUAUAUUCAUAUUAUAAUUUUAAAUUGUAAACACUGUAAAUGAGUUACAAAUCUUAAUUUAUAUUCUGU